AUUCAAAAGGAAAAGAGAUGUAUUGAUUGCUAACAUUUCUAACGUACAAGACGAUGCAGAUGGUGCGAAGUAAACAACAUCCCUUUCUCUUGCAAACUAAAGAUUAAGUUUUACCAAACUAAAGUUUCAACAUUCAGUUCUUUUAUAAUUCAGCAUAACAUUUCCAGGUAAUAGGAAUUGCAGUUUACAGUAAAUACACAGAUGAUCAACAAUUAACAACUGCUGUGCAUACAGCCAUAGAAAGGGUUCAUUGUCCAUAUGCAUUCACUUGCGCCUUCCAAACUAAUUCAAACAUAAAUCACAGGAAUCCGAAAAAGAGAAAUCAAUCUCUCCUGAGAUCCAUUUCUUCCCUACAAACACCGUCAGCAUUUAAUAUGACUAUUUCCAGCUUGUCACCCUGCAAUAUGAAAAGCAAAAUAUUCAGGAAAUAGGAUGAUAAAAGCUACAUAACCUUCUCAAACAAAACUUCUCCGCACGGAGAUUAAUACAACUAAAUCAUCCAUUGAGUACCGGAUCGAUAGGAAAAUACCUUUGGCUCAAGAAAGAAUAAGUAUUAGUUAGAUAUCACUUCCGGGUCAUGAUUAUUAAUAAGCAACCUCCCUAUUAGUGAAGCAAAGCCAACGGUGAACAAAAAGAAGAAAAGAGAAGAGAAGAGAAGACAAGAGCACCAGUAAAACACGGUCGCACAUAAUUAACCCAAAUGUUCCUGAAGAUCACAGCUCCUAAAACUUG
rnacentral:lncRNA from 1 species